rnacentral:pre_miRNA from 1 species
UAUUAAAAAAAUUCAUAUAUUUGUACUGUUAAAAAUUGAUGUGAUUAACGAAAUAAUCAGACAUAACAUUGUGUGUGCCAUAUGUAUAUUAUGCUAAUGUAAAGAGGCUAAUUUUUAAUAGUAAAAGUAAAUGAAUAUUUUAUCA